GUCAUUUUGCCGAUUUUUUCAAUUUUCUGUCUGGAAGAAUAUACAAACACGAACGAUUAGGCCAUAGUUAAAUAUUAAAUGGUCAAAACUUUAGAGGCAAUCAUUUUAACGAAAUAUGCAUGUAUACGUAUUAUUCACGAGCAGCGGAAAUCAAUACUAUAAAAAUGAAAAUUCUAUUGCGCAUGACCACCGUUCCAAGAGGGUUGCACCGAAGUAAAUCGAAUUCGAAAGUAACCGAAUCAUAUGCCCUUGCUGGGGUUACCAUUUCUUCCGUACAGAUGUUUGUAACGUGCAUCCUUAGAACACAAGGAAUCGGAUUCGAUUCAAUACAUCGUUUUGGUUGGUUGGUUGGUUAAAUCCCUAGUAUACAAAAAUUAUACGAAAUAAAUUCACUUUUGAAGUAAAGUUUCUCUUUCUAAAAACUAUUAGUUACGAGUGAAGCUGCAUCAACAGCUGAUUGCUUGAUUGCUUGAUCAAAUCGGGAUAAUUGAUGUAUCCUUGGAAAAUAACCAAACACUUUAAUUUGCGAUUACCUAUCAAACGGUUCGAUCGUCCGACUAUCGUCAUGGAUUUGUAAUUUUAGCUGCAUACGCACAUACUUAUCUCAUUACACAUAUAUAUGCAUGUAUGUAUUUAGCUGCUGCCUUCGUGCAGCUUUCGUCACUAGCGUGGAGUGCCAGUGCCUUUCACAGUAAAAAAAUGGAAUUUUGUGUAAUGGUGCAGACCGCGGUUGACUAAUAACAAUAUACAUAUGAACAUAUCUAUGUAUAUAUGCAAGUAAUAAGUAUGUGGGCAUUUGUAUUUGUGGAAAUAUAGCACCCCACAUACAUAUACAUAUAUCUACAAUUCACUCACGCACCGUGGAUAACAGGAGAGCCCUCUUCAGUUGGAACAAUAUGGGAAAAAGUGGAACACAGAAAAUACUUGGUGAGAAACAUUGCUCAACAAAAUGGACACCCACUCUAGUAUCACCCUUAUGUUGGAUCCUGGACAACUGGACAGCAAAGGUAAGGUUUCAGGUGAAACUCAAAACGUUUCCAUCGACAAUUUUUCUCUUCAUUAUGUUCGCUACUUGUUGCUGUAGAUUUGUUUCGUUUCCACAUUGUUUCAGGCUUAAAACAAAAUAUAAUUUCUUAAGCUAUAUGUUAUGUUUUUAAAUAAUAUUUAUAUUCUAAUACAAUUUUCUAAAUGUUCUUAAUAAUUUGUUCGAAGAUAUUAAUAAAAUGAUUUUGCGAAUUUGGUAUAUUUUAACAG